AGAGUGAACGCUGGCGGUAGGCCUAACACAUGCAAGUCGAACGGCAGCACAGUAGGAGCUUGCUCUUACGGGUGGCGAGUGGCGGACGGGUGAGGAAUACAUCGGAAUCUACCUUUUGGUGGGGGAUAACGUAGGGAAACUUACGCUAAUACCGCAUACGCCCUUCGGGGGAAAGCCGGGGACCAGCAAUGGCCUGGCGCUGAUAGAUGAGCCGAUGUCGGAUUAGCUAGUUGGUGAGGUAAUGGCUCACCAAGGCGACGAUCCGUAGCUGGUCUGAGAGGAUGAUCAGCCACACUGGAACUGAGACACGGUCCAGACUCCGUACGGGAGCAGCAGUGGGGAAUA
rnacentral:rRNA from 1 species